rnacentral:rRNA from 1 species
UACGUAGGGGGCAAGCGUUGUCCGGAAUCAUUGGGCGUAAAGCGCGUGUAGGCGGCUGAGUAAGUCUGCUCUGAAAGCCCGGGGCUCAACCCCGGGAGGCGGGUGGAUACUGCUCAGCUCGAGUCCGGAAGAGGAGUGUGGAAUUCCUGGUGUAGCAGUGAAAUGCGCAGAUAUCAGGAGGAACACCAAUGGCGAAGGCAGCACUCUGGGACGGUACUGACGCUGAGACGCGAAAGCGUGGGGAGCAAACAGG